AUUGAACGCUGGCGGUAUGCUUAACACAUGCAAGUCGAACGAUGAGAAAGAGCUUGCUCUUUCGAUUAGUGGCGGACGGGUGCGUAACGCGUAGGAAUCUACCUAUUAGUGGGGGACAACUUAGGGAAACUUAAGCUAAUACCGCAUACGCCCUACGGGGGAAAGAAGGGGAUCGCAAGACCUUUUGCUAAUAGAUGAGCCUGCGUAGGAUUAGCUAGUUGGUGGGGUAAAAGCUCACCAAGGCGACGAUUCUUAACUGGGUUGAGCGAAUGAGCAGUCACACUGGAAAUGGGACACGGUCCAGACGCCUACGGGAGGCAGCAGUGGGGAAGAUUGGACAAUGGGCGAAAGGCUGAUCCAGCGAUACCGCGUGUGUGAAGAAGGCCUUAGGGUUGUAAAGCACUUUCAAUUGGAAGGAAAACCUCGAAGCUAAUACCUUCGAGUUUGACAUUACCUUUAGAAGAAGCACCGGCUAACUCCGUGCCAGCCGCCGCCGUAAAAC
rnacentral:rRNA from 1 species